rnacentral:rRNA from 2 species
AGAGUUUGAUCCUGGCUCAGGAUGAACGCUGGCGGCGUGCCUAAUACAUGCAAGUCGAGCGAACGGACGAGAAGCUUGCUUCUCUGAUGUUAGCGGCGGACGGGUGAGUAACACGUGGAUAACCUACCUAUAAGACUGGGAUAACUUCGGGAAACCGGAGCUAAUACCGGAUAAUAUUUUGAACCGCAUGGUUCAAAAGUGAAAGACGGUCUUGCUGUCACUUAUAGAUGGAUCCGCGCUGCAUUAGCUAGUUGGUAAGGUAACGGCUUACCAAGGCAACGAUGCAUAGCCGACCUGAGAGGGUGAUCGGCCACACUGGAACUGAGACACGGUCCAGACUCCUACGGGAGGCAGCAGUAGGGAAUCUUCCGCAAUGGGCGAAAGCCUGACGGAGCAACGCCGCGUGAGUGAUGAAGGUCUUCGGAUCGUAAAACUCUGUUAUUAGGGAAGAACAUAUGUGUAAGUAACUGUGCACAUCUUGACGGUACCUAAUCAGAAAGCCACGGCUAACUACGUGCCAGCAGCCGCGGUAAUACGUAGGUGGCAAGCGUUAUCCGGAAUUAUUGGGCGUAAAGCGCGCGUAGGCGGUUUUUUAAGUCUGAUGUGAAAGCCCACGGCUCAACCGUGGAGGGUCAUUGGAAACUGGAAAACUUGAGUGCAGAAGAGGAAAGUGGAAUUCCAUGUGUAGCGGUGAAAUGCGCAGAGAUAUGGAGGAACACCAGUGGCGAAGGCGACUUUCUGGUCUGUAACUGACGCUGAUGUGCGAAAGCGUGGGGAUCAAACAGGAUUAGAUACCCUGGUAGUCCACGCCGUAAACGAUGAGUGCUAAGUGUUAGGGGGUUUCCGCCCCUUAGUGCUGCAGCUAACGCAUUAAGCACUCCGCCUGGGGAGUACGACCGCAAGGUUGAAACUCAAAGGAAUUGACGGGGACCCGCACAAGCGGUGGAGCAUGUGGUUUAAUUCGAAGCAACGCGAAGAACCUUACCAAAUCUUGACAUCCUUUGACAACUCUAGAGAUAGAGCUUUCCCCUUCGGGGGACAAAGUGACAGGUGGUGCAUGGUUGUCGUCAGCUCGUGUCGUGAGAUGUUGGGUUAAGUCCCGCAACGA